GUAGUUGAUCCUUUGUACUGCAUUGGUUCUUAAAAUUUCCUUUUUGUUCAAUUGGGUAUAAAGAGUUAACAGGCAAAUGAUUGUAGAUUUGAUUACUGUUAAUGCCCGUAAAAGUUAAAAGUUGUUGGAAAGCAAGUGAUAGGUCGAAAAUUACUCAGAGUUGUGCCUUUACUUGGAUCUUUGAUUAACAAAAAUGUUCUUCCUGAUGUCAUCCAUUCUUGAACUGAUCCAUCCUGGAGCAUUUUAUUAAAUUGAUGAGCUAGGCAACUAUGUAAACUGGUAAGAUGUUUGAGCCAGAAGCCAUGGAGUUUGUCUUUGCCAGGGGCACUCCAGUUCUUCACUUUUUUAGCCUGCUCACAAACCAUUUCUUUUGUUAUUAUCAAGUCUUCCAUUUCUGUUUUCUUGAUACAUUUUUCAAUAUCUUUCAUCUAGGAAGCAUUUUGGUUAUGAUAUUGCUGUUUGUCCAAAAUAUCUCUGCAAAACUUUACUAUUUCAUUUCCAUAUUUUGGGCUUGUGUAUUUGUUAAUCUGCC
rnacentral:lncRNA from 1 species